AGAUCAUGAUGUGGGCAAUUCCUUAGUAGAAUUUUGUAUCUCUCCCAUGCCUUAUAAAGGGACUCUCCAUGUUGUUGUUAAAAGUUGGAAAUAGAUUUCUUGAACUU